GUUCAGUAGCAAAAUGCUCACUUGGGAAACUUGUGUUUUAGAGCAGUUUCUCACAUGAGUUUUCUAUUUCAACAGCUAAUUGAAAACGAUUUGCAGGAGCAGCCAUAUUCAUUCACAUUGUUAACCACCUAAUGAUCUAUAGUAGGGGAAGAGAUACUGUUCUCCUGGAAUCAUAUAAUCAUCUAAUUCUUCUAAGUAGUCAAGAUCCAGAAUCAUGAGAGCUGGUGAGAUGGCUGAGUAAAUGGAUGCUUGGGCACAGGAGAUAGCCUGGUCUGUGACAGUGCCUCACAGAAAUGAGAAAUGACCCAUGAAAGAUGAAAAUCAGCUUUUGCAUCAGCAGACCCAGGUAGGACUGCUGUGAUUUGCAGUGCAAUAAAGGCAGCAGGAAGCAGAGACA
rnacentral:lncRNA from 1 species